rnacentral:rRNA from 1 species
CCUACGGGGUGCAGCAGUGAGGAAUAUUGGUCAAUGGACGAGAGUCUGAACCAGCCAAGUAGCGUGAAGGAUGACUGCCCUAUGGGUUGUAAACUUCUUUUAUAUGGGAAUAAAACGUUCCACGUGUGGGAUUUUGUAUGUACCAUAUGAAUAAGGAUCGGCUAACUCCGUGCCAGCAGCCGCGGUAAUACGGAGGAUCCGAGCGUUAUCCGGAUUUAUUGGGUUUAAAGGGAGCGUAGGUGGAAUGUUAAGUCAGUUGUGAAAGUUUGCGGCUCAACCGUAAAAUUGCAGUUGAAACUGGCAGUCUUGAGUACAGUAGAGGUGGGCGGAAUUCGUGGUGUAGCGGUGAAAUGCUUAGAUAUCACGAAGAACUCCGAUUGCGAAGGCAGUUCACUGGACUGCAACUGACACUGAGGCUCGAAAGUGUGGGUAUCAAACAGGAUUAGAUACCCUUGUAGUC